UAUAAAUGUAUUUUGAGUGGUAAUUUUAGGAUUUUACAUGCGCUAUACCAUUCCAAAUUAAUAUCGACCCAAACUUAUCUCACAGUAUAACCCCAUUAUGUGAAAUUAAAUAUCACUUUAUUAUUUUUCAUUCCA
rnacentral:sRNA from 1 species